rnacentral:rRNA from 1 species
UGAGUGCCUUCGGGAGCUCAGAGACAGGUGGUGCAUGGCUGUCGUCAGCUCGUGUCGUGAGAUGUUGGGUUAAGUCCCGCAACGAGCGCAACCCACGUCUUUAGUUGCCAGCAUUCAGUUGGGCACUCUAUAGAGACCGCCGGUGAUAAACCGGAGGAAGGUGUGGAUGACGUCAAGUCAUCAUGCCCCUUACAUCCUGGGCUACACACGUACUACAAUGCUACGGACAAAGGGCAGCAAACUCGCGAGAGCUAGCAAAUCCCAUAAACCGUGGCUCAGUUCAGAUCGUAGGCUGCAACUCGCCUACGUGAAGGAGGAAUCGCUAGUAAUCGCAGGUCAGCAUACUGCGGNGAAUACGUUCCCGGGUCUUGUAACAC